rnacentral:ncRNA from 2 species
CUGGAAAUGCUUAAAUGAAUUAGCGUUACAAGUGGGCUCUGACCGGUAAGCGGUCAUGGCGAAAUGGGAUGAACCAUACGUCUGAAUAAGGUGCCGAAAUGUACUAUCACUGAUACCAUAAAGGGAGUCCAUGUAUUUAGACAGCAGGUCGGUGCCCGUAAAAGCAGGUAUCCGCUAAAGAGUGUGUUAAAACUCACCUGCCGAAUACUAGGGCCCCGAAAAUGAAUGGCGCAUAUAGUACUACCGAUCUCAGACAUCAGUUCUAUUGAACUGAGAGUAGGGGGAUGUGGACAUUUUUGUGAAGGUGCAAUGUGAGUUGGACUGGAAGAAUGUCUAUUACAGAUCCUAAUUGAAGUAGCGAUUAUCCAGGCUUGUAUCCUGGGGGCUGAUGAGGAGUAGGGUUUCUGGACAACUUAAACAGAUCCAGAGUUAGUCGAUCCUAAUCUCAAUAAUGGGAGAAAGGGAGUACAGUUGAUAUUCUGUAACUGACAACAGUUCGCGGCAACGCAUACUAUUUUUCUCCGCCAAUCUUAUACCGUUGGUAGGGAUCUCUUUCCUACAUGACAGUACUAAUACCCAGGGAAACUGGUCAUCAGGCGAACUGCGGCGUUCUGCUGGCAAAACAUAGCUUCGGUUAUGUCAAUGGCUAUUGGAUUGGUCCAUGAAGCGAAAAAUAGUUUACUGUGUCACUCGUACCGAUAACCGCAUCAGGUCUUCUAGGUAAGUAGCCUAUGGCCAUUGAGGCAUGAUAGUUCAGGGAAUUCGGCCAAUUAGAGCUGUAACUUCGGGAUAAAGCUUGGCUCUGAUGAAAAUCAGAACCGAUUGUUACGCGGAGAGCCCAACUGUUUAAUAAAAACGUAGUGUCGCGCUGUGGUAGUAUAGCCAGUGAACGCGACAUGAAUCCUGCUCAGUGCUGUGUCUGUUAAUAUGGUUCAAGCCAACGAAGCACCGGUAAAUAGCUGGGGUAACUAUGACUCUUAUCAAAGUAGCGAAAUACCUCGUCACUUAAUUAGUGACCUGCAUGAACGG